GCCGCCCAAGGCCGGAGCCGUUGGUGAGGGUUGCCGGUGACCGUUGCACCGGCAGCCGCUGCUACUAGGGGUAAAGUGAGGAUGCCGCUCUGGGACGUCCCUGUGGGCUGCACCAAAGCCCGCAAGCCCGGGGAACGACAGAUCUCACCUCCCGCUCGACUCCCGGUGGGUUGAGGGACCCUCUGCCUCCGUCCCGCCCUUGUCACACUUCCUUCUCUGAGGGCUUGGACAGUGCUCUUCGCAGCCACCUCUGUCCCUGCCCGCCUGUCAUGGAGCCCGCUGGGCGGAUUUUCGGGCUCUGGCACCCAGUCAGCCUGCGAGUGCGAAGUCGCCCCAGCCUGCCACCAAGGAAGUCAGAUGGUGCUGUCUUCUGCUGGUUACUUCACAGCACCUCCAUUUUCAAGGAAGAUCUUCUGAGAAUAAACUUGGAAAGUACUGUGACCACAAAACAUGAUAUUCACAGAGAGUUCAAAGGGAUAGUGGAUACAGAAUAAGAAAAUUUGAGAGAUCAAAACUCAGGAGUUGAGUUCCAACCUGGAAAACAAGAGCAGGGGACUUUCCAGCCAGCACCAAUGUUAUUCUGAUUGAAUGACAAGAUUUUUCUUCUUUUGAACUCAGAAGUCAUUUGGAAACUUUGGGGGAAAUUUCACCACAUCCUUUAAGUCUUGCUUAUGGUUGGCAGGGGAGAUACAUUAGAACUUACAGAAGUAUCUCAGCCUCCAGUGUCAGUAGCCUUGCCAUAAAUCUACCCCCCCCCCCAAGGUUUCCUGUGCAGGCUUCAUUGUCAGUGUGGUUCACGUUCACAGUUUUACUUUCACAGCUAGCCAUAUUUUCCUGGAUGGUCUUAAACUAUAUGCUGAGUUUGGGGUUUUUUGUUUUGUCUUAUUGGAUUUUGUUUGUUUUGUUUAUUUUGCAGAGAGUUUUCAGACUUUUCUGUUAGGUAAAUUUUACAUUACCGUUAAAUGCUUUCCAAGUUGUGCAUUGCCCAGUAACUGCUUCUCUCUAUUCUAGUUUUGAUGGAAUUUUGACUUUAUUUUUAUUUCGUGUCUUAAUCUUUGAACAUGAACCAGACCACUAUUAGUUUCUACUAGAGACGUGUUUGGCAUGUGUACUUGAUCAUGCGUAUGUCUGCACACAUGUGACAUGGGUGUAGAGGACAGAGGUUGAUUUGGGGUGUUUUCCUCCAUCACUCUUCCACCUUUGGCUUUGACCCAAGGUCUCUCACUGAACCUGUAAUUCAUCAGUUCAGACAAGCUGGCUAGCCAAUGAGUUUCCCAGAUCUGCCUGUCUCUGCCCUCUCAGGACCUAAUCUGCCAUAUUAGAUGAGCACUAUUUUAGCUGAGUUGUCUACUAUACCCUGUGGGAAAACAUGUAUCCACAGGAUUCUUAUUUGGGUCUUUCUUCUUCAUCUACUUUAUCUUCUUUCUAAGUAUCUUUCCCUGGCAUUUGUUAUAUCGCAAGCUUUUGUAUCUACAUUUCUUGACUCCUUCAUGGUUAUUUCAGUCCUGCUUUUCCCUUUUGUCAUCCUAGCAGGGACUCUUAAAGCAUCGUGUGUGGGCAGCUGCUCCUCCAUGACCUCUAUGGGCCUCUCUUGAGAAAGUACUUUAUUAAGGCAAACCACAGCUCCUGUCACUCAGCUGGUUUCAGGGCUGCGAGUGCUACUGAUCAUUCUCCUCCACAGUCAAUGGCAAGUUCUUUGUCCCUUAGGUUGUUUCUUCCAUAAACCUAAUUAAUUAAUUACCUAUAUGUUUUUCUGUACCUAGCAUCAUUUUGGUUUCCACUGCCAAGAUGGGAAAUCCUUGCCUGCUCAUACCUGGAUCCAGAAUUCAAAAUGUCUAAACAGUAGCUCUAACUUAUAGUCUAGUAGGAGUCUUAUUGUGUCUCCUGGCAGAAAUGCAUCCCAUUUGGAAGCCAGGACUUUUAUACCUUCAAUGUGUUGUGGGGACUGGAAAGUGUCCCUUAACAAGUCAGUAGGACUGGUGUUCAGUGGGGUCAUUUCUGCUUUCUCUGUUUUGUUCUUGGAACUACGUGUUUGUUCUUAGUAGGGACAAUAAUCUAACCCAGUGUACCUACUGUUUCCUGAAGGACAGUGCUUAAUCUUUAUGAAGUCCUGCUUCUGAACUGGCACUUCAGUUAUAGCAUUAUCACAGUGAAAGCAAACAUUGGUGUUAAACAGCAAGGUCAGAAACACAGAGGAAGAUAAAUAAGAAGGCUUGCACCUGGCUAUGAAAUAGCCAAGCUAAGCAGGUAAGAGAAGAGGCAGAACUCUGGACUGUUUGAGCAGGGCCCAGGAGCUCCGUCCCCCCUGCAGAAACAUGUGCACGGUAUUGUUCCCUUUCCCUUAGUAAACAUCUAAAAUUUACAGGUAGUUUAACCUUCAUGGAUAGCCAUGCAUCUAAUUGUAACAGACUGAAUUGUGGGUAAUGGCUUCUGAGAAAGUCUCCACCUUUUUUAGGAGGGCAACCUCUCUAGACAGCCCCAGGGAUAGACAAAGGAGAACUGGUGGACAAAGGUGCCACUUGGCUCACGGUACCCUCUCUCUUCUUUUUACCUUCCGACCUGCUACAGUAAACCUCAACAACUUGUUUGCCCUACCUGUCCCCUAAUGUGAAUCUCUUAACUUGAGAUUGGAAGACAUGUGCCUGGUGAUCUGUCAGGUUGAAUGACCCUGUUGAUUCCCUGGUCAUGAGUCCACAUAGUAUCUUUUUACUCUGAAGUAGGUCCCAUUUACAUGCUGUUGAAUUCGGUCUCUCAUCUAUAUCAUGCAUUCUUUAAGGCCCUAAAUAAUGAUGAUAUAGGCUAAGGCCCUGGAAGGCAAAACAACAAAUCCAUACCCAGAAUAAAUAUUUAUCCCUGUUAGGAUAGACCACUAGCCACCCCAAAAUUGAAAGAGUCUAUGUGAUUGACCAGGUAUCUGCUUUGUCUUGAGUAAUACUGCAGUAUUGGGAACACAGUGUAGGUCUCUGUUCCUAGCAGGUUCCUUAGAAACAGAUGUAGGUAUGGAUUGGCUUUUGUAGCUGGGAAUUUACAUUGUGACUCACAUAUAGCCUCCUGUGCAAACAUGACUGCUCAUGUGUUUGUCUUAGUGACAGUUCUAGAGUUGAUUGUGACAAACGCUUAACACCAACUGAUAGAAUCCUUCAUCGAUUUGAAUUUUUCUGUUUCUCUUUCAUGAUGGAUGUUCUAGUCAGAAUGAACAUGUCAUUAACCGCUAAGCAAGACAGCCACCUUUAGGGACAGAAUCCUAUGUUGAUGCACCUUCAGAGUAUCCUUUCUUUAUUUGCAGCUAAGGCUUUAUGGCAUAAGCAGCAGAGCAUUCCUUGAGGCAUGUCUACUCAUUAGUUUUUGCUCAACAAGCUCCAGAAUGUGUCUACUAUAUCCUCUUUCAACACUGUGACCUUAAACUGAAUUUGCUCAGGGAUGUAUCCUUAACUAAGCAUGCUUUUUAUUCAGUCUUGGGCCAACCCUUAUGUGAAUGUAUAUAGGCUCUCUGAAUAAAAUUCCCUUGUUUUCUUUGUUGGAAGAGCUUUGGAAAGGACACCUGUGUUCUCAUCUGUUGCAAAUAAUCUUUCUCUAGUCUUUUUAUAUAUUGGCUGUGAUUAUUUUGGCUUGCACUCAAUGAUAUGUGAAUGCAUUACAUUUGAUUACAAUAUAAUAAAAAAGACCCUCACCCCUUGUGACCGCAUAUCUCCAUUUUUAUAGCUCUCUUCCCUACUCCACUGUCUCUGGUCUUCCAGUCUUCUCUGCUGAGAUCCUGGCCUUCAGCUAGGCCAUUGCCACUGCACAGGAAUCUUCACAACAGAUUUACUCUCCUUCCACAUCGGGUGAAUGAAAAGUUAUGGGGUGAAAGCUUUGCUAUUAGGAAGAUUUGCCCUCUCACUGUCUUCUAGGGUCACCUAAGUGUAGCUUCCUUUUUGUACCAAGCUGAAUUCUUUAUAUAACAAGCCAACAUCCUCUCUUAUCCAGGGCAGUUGGAGGAAAAUGUGCUGGUUCAAGCUCAGUACAUGGUAAUAAGAAUCUGGAAUACAAGUUCAUGUAGUUGAUUCACUCCUGCUAGUGCAAUAUAUCAUUUACAUACCACCAUGAACUGCUGCUGAGCCAAUCUACCUUAGGACUUAGCCCAUAAUGAAUUUUUCAAAUACAUAGUAACUUGGUAUCCAUGGUCAAGUUUUUUUGUCUUUGUCUGGUACCAUAUCUAGAAUGGUUUCUUGAAAAUAGUAAAAUCCUUAUAAAG